rnacentral:rRNA from 1 species
AUUGAACGCUGGCGGCAGGCCUAACACAUGCAAGUCGAGCGGAGCGGCGGACGGGUGAGUAAUGCAUAGGUGUCUGCCUGGUCGUGGGGGAUAACGUACGGCAACGAGCGCUAAUUACGCACACUAUCAGAUGAGCCUAGGCGGGAGUAGCUAGUUGGUGGGGUAAAGGCCUACCAAGGCGACGAUCCGUACCUGGUCUGAGAGGAUGAUCAGUAACACUGGAACUGAGACACGGUCCAGACUCCUACGGGAGGCAGAAGUGGGGAAUAUUGGACAAUGGGCGAAAGCCUGAUCCAGCCAUGCCGCGUGUGUGAAGAAGGUCUUCGGAUUGUAAAGCACUUUAAGUUGGGAGGCGUUACCAACAGAAUAAGCACCGGCUAACUUCGUGCCAGCAGCCGCGGUAAUUC